CUUCAAUAUAGAUCCAGAAUGACAACUUCCAAAUCAUUGAAAAUUAUCUUCACCAUUUGGUUGAUUUCAGCUGCCAUUGCCACCUACGCCGCCACUCCUGAUUCAGGAAGCAGCUAUGGACCGGUCUGCAGCACCACCGAUUUUGAUAAAAUGAAAGGAUACCAUACAUUUCAGGCAAUAAGUCUGCUUCUAUCCACCGUGGUUAUACUGGUUGUGUACGUUCUCAUUUUUAUUGUUGCCCAAAAACGACAAAAUAUGCUGAGAAAUGGCGAACUGGGGCAAACCUGCAAUGAUCGGAACCAACAAAGUGCCUUACUUCAAGAUCUGAAGAUAUAUCCGAAUGUUGUUGGUCGUCGUGGGAAUGUUUAUACUUUGUUGGGGUCCUUUCGUUACUGGUAUGUUGCUUUGGUUCUACCAUCCAAAUUUGUUUGAUUUCGAUAGCACGUCAUUCAACUACCGACGUCGGAUUCGCAUAGCUACAAUAGUAAUAACCUUACUUCCAUAUUUCAACAGUCUGUUCAAUCCAAUAAUUUAUGCCCGUCUCGACCAAACGUACAGAGAGGCUUUCAAAAAUCUGCUUCAUCGAAUGUGUCGAUCAAGCCCAAGAAGACGACAACCACCUGCGGUAACAGAGUUACCUCCACUGAGAACAAGAUAAGCCAACAUUUCAUUAACAUUUUAUAAAUACUUAAUUUUCAUUUCAUAAAUACUUAUGUCCUUACUCUGAAGGAGAAAUGUGUUUAUAAAAGGUUGCGCUCGUGGUGUAACAAACUUAAAAGAAGAUGAGGUCAAGUCUGUCCUGCGCAUGCACAAUAUGAGGACCUAGCUUUGGUGUAAACAGUACUCAAAUUUCGC